rnacentral:lncRNA from 1 species
UCUUCCCCCGCCCCUUCGGUUUCCGGGCCUGUGGGAUGCGGAGACCGGAGCCUCGGGCUGUACUGAAUGUAGCUCCUUCCUCCGAGCCUGGGGAUUGAGCCGCGAUCGCCCUCCCCAGCCCGCAGCCCCACCGCCGGGAAACUUUGCCGAUCCGGAGACUCAGGCCUGACAGCCGAACUGACGAACGGACCAACCAGCCAACCUCCGCACCUUCCUCCUUCAAUCUCAAUCCCACUCCACCCCCCUCGCUGCCUUCCCCUCCCAUCGACCUGGAUCGCGCUGUGUCUGACUGAUGGGGCAGCGGGCCACUCGGAAGAGGGGAGUCUGACUGACCGGGUUUUGGAGACUUGAAAUGUAUCAAAGUACUGAAGAUCACACAUCAACAACCAGUAGAGCUGAUCUGACUACUUAUUUGAAUUUUGCUUUCUCUUGUACCUUGCUUCAAACUUACGUAUCUUUCACACUGUGCACUGAAUCAGGUAAGAUAAAGGAAAUACUGUAUAUGUUGCAAUAUUCAAUUUUGAACAAAGUCAAAUAUUUCACACU